GACGAACGCUGGCGGCGUGCUUAACACAUGCAAGUCGAACGGAAAGGCCUUUUCGGAGGUACUCGAGUGGCGAACGGGUGAGUAACACGUGGGUGAUCUGCCCUUCACUCUGGGAUAAGCCUGGGAAACUGGGCCUAAUACCGGAUAGGACCGCACUUUAGUGUGUGUGGUGGAAAGUCUUUUCGGUGUAGGAUGAGCCCGCGGCCUAUCAGCUUGUUGGUGGGGUAAUGGCCUACCAAGGCGGCGACGGGUAGCCGGACUGAGAGGUUGGUCGGCCACAUUGGGACUGAGAUACGGCACAGACUCCUACGGGAGGCAGCAGUGGGGAAUAUUGCACAAUGGGCGCAAGCCUGAUGCAGAGACGCCGCGUGGGGGAUGACGGCCUUCGGGUUGUAAAAUACUUUCGCCAGGGACGAAGCGUUUUGUGACGGUACCUGGAGAAGAAGCACCGGCUAACUACGUG
rnacentral:rRNA from 1 species